CCAAUAGCGUAUAUUAAAGUUGUUGCAGUUAAAAAGCUCGUAGUUGAAUUUCGGGGUUAGUAGGCUGGUCAUGCCCCCGGUAUGUACUGGUCUCACUGAUUCCUCCUUCCUGAUGAACCGUAAUGCCAUUAAUUUGGUGUUGCGGGGAAUUUGGACUGUUACUUUGAAAAAAUUAGAGUGUUUAAAGCAGGCUAACGCUUGAAUACAUUAGCAUGGAAUAAUGAAAUAGGACGUUCGAUCCUAUUUUGUUGGUUUCUAGGAUUGACGUAAUGAUUAAUAGGGAUAGUUGGGGGCAUUAGUAUUCAAUUGUCAGAGGUGAAAUUCUUGGAUUUAUUGAAGACUAACUACUGCGAAAGCAUUUGCCAAGGAUGUUUUCAUUAAUCAAGAACGAAAGUUAGGGGAUCGAAGACGAUCAGAUACCGUCGUAGUCUUAACCAUAAACUAUGCCGACUAGGGAUCGGAUGAUGUUAAUUUUUUAAUGACUCAUUCGGCGCCUUACG
rnacentral:rRNA from 1 species